CCAGACUCCUACGGGAGGCAGCAGUGGGGAAUAUUGCACAAUGGGGGGAACCCUGAUGCAGCGACGCCGCGUGGGUGAAGGAGUAUUUCGGUACGUAAAGCCCUAUCAGCAGGGAAGAACAAUGACGGUACCUGACUAAGAAGCACCGGCUAACUCCGUGCCAGCAGCCGCGGUAAUACGGAGGAUGCGAGCGUUAUCCGGAUUUAUUGGGUUUAAAGGGUGCGUAGGCGGACUGGAAAGUCAGCGGUAAAAUGGGGAGGCUCAACCUCUUUCCGCCGUUGAAACUGUCGGUCUUGAGUGGGCGAGAAGUAUGCGGAAUGCGUGGUGUAGCGGUGAAAUGCAUAGAUAUCACGCAGAACUCCGAUUGCGAAGGCAGCAUACCGGCGCCCGACUGACGCUGAGGCACGAAAGCGUGGGUAUCGAACAGGAUUAGAUACCCGCG
rnacentral:rRNA from 1 species